UUUUUGAAUAUAAUUUAAGGUAGGGCCUGCCCMCUGAUUAAUUGAAGGGCCGCAGUAUUUUGACUGUGCAAAGGUAGCAUAAUCAUUAGUUUUUUAAUUGAAAACUGGUAUGAAUGGUUUGAUGAAAAAAAAUCUGUCUCAAUUUUAAAUAAGAAUUUUAUUUUUAAGUAAAAAAGCUUAAAUAAAAUUAAAAGACGAGAAGACCCUAUAGAGUUUUAUUGUUUAAAAAUUGUUAAAAUUUGGUAUUAAAUUUUAUUAAUAUUUAAAUAAUUUAAUUGGGGUGAUUAUAAAAUUGAGAAAACUUUUAUUGAAUGAAAACAUAAAUCUAUGAAUUUUUGAUCCAUAAUAAUGAUUAAAAGAUUAAAUUACCUUAGGGAUAACAGCGUAAUUUUUUUUUAGAGUUCUAAUCGAAAAGAGAGAUUGCGACCUCGAUGUUGGAUUAAAAUUAAUAUUUGGUGUAGAAGCUAAAUUAUUAGGUCUGUUCGACCUUUAAAAUUUUACA
rnacentral:rRNA from 1 species